rnacentral:tRNA from 1 species
CGGGGCGUGGCGCAGUCCGGUUAGCGCGUCUGCAUGGGGUGCAGAAGGUCGCUGGUUCGAAUCCAGUCGCCCCGA